GUUUUUUUCCGAGCUCCGCAUGUGGACGUCAUGACGUCAUGACGUCUUCUCUCUAACCUGAACGACGUUGACAGAAAAUUCUGUUCAAUAUGGCUGCCCUUCUCGAGCGACUGGAGAACACAUUUGGAGAAACUUGUAAGUAAAACGGAACCUUCGUUAUGUUUAUUUUUUCCGUAAAAAAGCAAGUAUAUUAAUAUGUUGCAGCCAAUAACUUGUUUUCGAAUGCGCUGUUGUGUUAAAAAGCACAGACCCAGGUGGUGAAUAGUUGUUCGCGCUCUUUUUCAAACAUAGAUUAUGUCGUCAGUUUUACAGUUUUAACCGAUUAAAACACAACGCAAGAAAGUUGGCGUUUUUACAACAGCAGCCUCAUUGUUCGGCAGGUUUUUGUUUUUUUUUCUUCUCAUUAGCAUCAUUCAAAAGUGACUUAGCUAGCAGUGGCAACUUCUAUCUAAAACAAUUGAAAUAUAGCAAGGUGUUGUAUAUUUAGUGUGCUGAUAAGGUUUUCAAUAUUUUUAUUUUUUCUUCCAAGGCUGAAGGCCAAAGACAAAAAGACAGAAGAAAAAAAAAUUCAGACUGCAAUUAAUUUCAGGUGGAGACAGUAAACACAGGAGGCGCCUGAUAUCAACGUGAAACGCACUGCAGUACUUCGUGCCCUUCCUGUAUACCUGCGGGAGGAGGACCCAGAAUUCUUUUAGACAUGUAAUAGCCACAACAGGACCCACAAGAACAUGGGAACAAGUAAAAGUGGAAUACAGGAUUUGUUCAUAACAGCAACCAAGAAAAGGGCAGAGGAAAAAAAGACAGGUGGUGGUCCUGCACCCCCUCGUCAACAAGUUGGUUAAGUAAAUAAUACCCUCACGGGAAAAUCGAUAUCUCUCUAUGAGCACACUGUCGCGCUGAGCUAAAGGAUCCUGUCUAUCCCACAAUAUACGCUGGAUUCUGAGGACUCUCCUUAUCAAUCUUGCACCUUCCGCAAUGGGCUGCUCGCGUAUACGGACAGGACAUGGCUGCGACAGACUUCCCAAAUCCACCUUCGCUUUUAUAGCCGUGGUCUCUCAUCUUGAUUACACGAAGUAAUUUACAAUUACUACUCUGAAAUAUGAAUUACAUCUGUAAUAAUCACA
ensembl:lncRNA